UACCUUUACGGCAGCCGGUCCCCACAACAUCCAACAACAUGGCAGCCGCGGCACAGUGUCCCGGUGCUGAGGAGGAUUUAAUGGAAAAUCAGGGGAGUUCAGCAGCGGGAAAAGACAGCGGGGCACCGGGACCUACUGCCCGAGACAAACCCGUGUGUCUCAUCGUACUGGGCAUGGCGGGGUCCGGGAAAACCACCUUCGUUCAGAGGCUGACUGCUCACCUUCACACUCGUAAAGCUCCUCCAUAUGUCAUUAACCUGGACCCUGCUGUCCACGAAGUCCCCUUCCCUGCAAACAUCGACAUCAGGGACACUGUGAACUACAAGGAGGUGAUGAAGCAGUACGGCCUUGGACCAAACGGAGGCAUAGUGACAUCACUCAACCUGUUUGCUACACGCUUUGAUCAGGUGAUGCAGUUCAUAGAGAAGAAGCAACAGAAUCACCGGUACGUGUUGAUUGACACCCCGGGUCAAAUUGAAGUCUUCACCUGGUCUGCGUCUGGAACCAUCAUCACAGAGGCUCUGGCCUCGUCCUUCCCCUGUGUCGUUGUCUAUGUGAUGGACACAUCCCGCAGCGUCAACCCUGUCACAUUCAUGUCCAACAUGCUGUACGCCUGCAGCAUUCUCUACAAGACCAAGCUGCCCUUCAUUGUUGUCAUGAACAAGACUGACAUUAUUGACCACAGCUUUGCAGUGGAGUGGAUGCAGGACUUUGAGGUUUUUCAGGAUGCUCUGAACCAGGAAACCUCCUAUGUCAGCAACCUGACACGCUCCAUGAGUCUGGUGCUGGACGAGUUCUACACCAACCUGAGGGUGGUGGGCGUGUCCGCAGUGACAGGAAACGGAUUGGAUGAGCUGUUCGUUCAGGUGGAGGAUGCUGCUGAAGAGUAUGAGAGGGAGUAUCGACCUGAAUAUGAAAGACUCCGCAAAAAGCUGGUGGAAGCUCAAAACAAGAAGCAGCAGGAGCAACUGGAGCGGCUCAGGAAGGACCUGGGAGCAGUCGACAUGACGACCACACCUUCAACAGAAGACACUGACAUAGCUGGGCCUAGUGACCUAAUUAUGACACGUGGUAACCCUGAUGAAGAGGAGGAGGAGGUGGACAGCGACACAGAUGAUAUUGACCACAUUGCAACGGAGGAGAGUAAAGAGACUGAUGCCUUUGGAAACUUCCUAAAGGAGAGGAAAGAGGUGGUCCAGGUCCGAAACAGAAAGUGUGCGAUGCCUGAGGGACAGCUGACCCCUGAUCUCUGACCUCUGCAGUCUGACAUCUAACUCUGUCAGGGAAAAAAGACAGUGACAGAAUAGAGCUCAACUGCCAAUAGGAGCGAUUUCGUUCUCCAAUGGGCCCCGCCAUCAUUGAUGCUGAUUGAACAUGUUGAAUCAGCCAAAACAAAAGUCAGUGGGGUCAGUAAGGGGCAAUGGUGUGGAACACACCACAGUGACCAGGCCUACAGAUGCUCAACAAUGGCCUAACAUUGACCGAAGGCCAACCGUCACCUUGGUGUUUCAGUGCCGUGAGAGGUUACCAAGACCCCAAAGAUAACACUGGCUGAGCGCCUGUGUUGAAUGGAGAACCUUCCAGAGAGACAUCCAUCACUGGAACACUCCAGUGAUCUGGGCUUUAUUGUAGAGUUGUCAGACGGCUCAUCCCUUGCACAGGAACGUCUCAAUGGUGAAGCAUAGUGGUGACGGCAUCAUACAGUGGGGGUGUUUUUCAGGAGCAGGAACUGGUCAGGGUAGGGGGGAAGCUGAGCGGAUCAUAGUACAGAAAACUGAGCCGAAAGUUUAACGUCCAACAGCACGAUGAUGGAUACAGCCAAGCGAUGCAAGAGUGGCUCAGUGACAACUCUGUAAAUGUCCUCCAGUGGCCAAGCCAGGGCUCGGACUUGAACCCAAGCCAGCGUCUCUGGAGAAAGUGGAAAAUGACCAUCCACCGAUGGUCCCCAUCCACACAGUUUGCAAGGAUCUGCAGAGAAAAAUGGCAGAAAAUCCAAAUUGCCUGUCAUGUCAUACCCAAGAAAACAUGAGGCACUGAUCGCUGCCAAAGGUGCUUCGACUAAAUACUGAGUAAAUGGUCUAAAUACUGUUAAUGCAGUUGUUCAGUUUCUUCAUUUUUAGAAACAUUCAGUUUUCAUUAUGUGGGGAACUGAGUGCAGACUGAUUUUGGCAUAAGGCUGGAACAUCACAAAAUGUGAAAAGUAAAAGGUUCUCAAUACUUUGUGAAUGCACUGUAUCUUUAAGUCUCUAAGACUCUAGGUUUUGGAAGUUAUCCUAGCUUGUGAUGCUACAGUGAUGCUCGAUUGGACGACAUUUCCUAGCAACCAACCCACACACUACUUAAGGUUUUACUGAGACAUUUAAUAGUGCGACCUGGUUUAGUAAAUCACCAGUUUGAAAGAAAGUAGUUAAGGAUUUACGAAAAGCUGCUGCAGCUCAGGAAAGCUUAGGUAACUCUUGUCAGAGAUUCUCCUAGUGUGCAGAGCUCUGAUGGAGGGACGAAAAAUAUUCUCCCUAAAGAUUCUCUCAUUAGCUGUAUUGAUGAUAUAUUGUAUCUCAUGGCAGUUAAUCAUGCAACAAACUGUAAGUGUUGCCUUUGCACCAAGAACAUAGUAGGCAGAACAAUGGCAGAGAGAAAAGAAAAUGAAAUAUUACAGACUAGUCUGUACAUAAAGAUGGACAAUGCAUCCCCAUUUAAUGCCACUGCACAAAAAUGAAGCCAAAAUGUCCUGGAUACAGCCACUGCCAUAUUGCACUGGUGACAACGUGGAACCAGAUGGUGCUUCUCAAAGUCAAGGAAGGAUCCUUAACCAGCCGAAUUUCAAGGAGGCUACGUUAUCGAAUCCCGCCAAAGGACUCUUCCAACGUCAAGGAUCUUUCAAAUUCUUCCUAGAACCCACAAUUCUUUGCGCAUGAUUUGCCAGAAUUGAAGGCGGGGCUUCUUCAGUGACAUACACCUGAGCGCUUGCUAGCCUGUUCCAAUGUGUGUUCACUUGAGUGCAAGGAAGGAGUCUUGCCUCGCCUCUGUAGGACCCAACUUGAAAGGACGCAUUCUACCAAGGAAGCAUCAUUCAGUUUGACAAGCACUGAGAGUCACCAUAUAGUAAUAGCGAUCUCUGCAGUGUGAUGUUCACGUACAUACACCCAUCCGACCAAUCACGAGCAGUGCCAUUGAUCGCAAGCACACCGAUUGGCACACACAGCUAUCAAUCAUGAUGUCAAACCCCUAUUUUCAUAGCAUCAAAUAACUGAUUAACAAAACAAAACGUAUCAAAAAAACAAAUACUUGAACACAGAUCAAUGGGAUAAGAACUACCUACAGCAGGGGUGUCCAAACUUUUUUGAAUGGGGGCCAGAUAAAACAACGUGAAAAUACCUGGGGGCCAACUGAUUCUUGCAUCAAAUGUUUUUUUUUGUUUGUUUGUUUUUUAAAGUGAGACAAAUUCAACCACUUUUAUCUUUUAAUGAACUAUUACUACAUGAUGCUUGUCUACAAACUGUAUAAUAGUCCUAUCAUUGUGAGGUGAAGGGUGAAAAUGCGAAGUGAUCUUGCUCUAUUAACCGUUGUAGUGUAAAGGGCCACAUAUGGUAUAUUUUGAGAAUCAAGCCGAGGGCCAAUUGAAAUUGGUCUGCGGGCCACAAUUGGCCCCCAGGCCAGACUUUGGACAUGCCUCAUCUUUUUGCCAACAUUCCAUCUGUUAGCAUGGAGGGGGCAGGGUUAAUGACAUGAACUGCAGCCAGCGACCGGAGGGCGGUCCAGAGCUGGCAUGACGACACUGGCUGAUCUUUGUGAGUUGGACUGUUUUUGCAGUGAGGCUCAUUUGCAUAUAAAGGGGCCAAUUUAUGGCAAAUAUAUGCAAAUUACCCAAUUUAAACGUGCAAAUAGCAGAGGAGCAUCGGGAUGGUAUUUGCAGUGGCAGCCCAGGUAUGGGUGCAUUUCACCCUUUGCGGGUGCUUUGAGAAUUACAGGGGGUUUUUUUUGUCUCAACUGUGCAGGUCGCAAAGUGCGAGUGGCUGCAAAAGUUGCAUGAUCCUUUUUCUUAUUUUGUCCAUCAGUGUGCAGUUUAUUAGGAACAACUAGCUUAUACUAUUGCAGUCUCAUCACAAACAGUCCUGCAAUAAAUCCUUCUUCAUGUAGGUUCUAAGUUCUGUUUGGUGUUGAUUCAACUGUGGGAUCACUGUGGAGGAUUUAGUCUGUGGUACUGCUGAACUGUAUUGUGUUUAACUGACAAGUGUUUCUGUUGUUUUGUCCACUCCCUUUAUAUAAGCGAGAGUAGGCUAAAAGAGAAACUCCCACACACUGCUUGCUUUAUUAAAUGCACCAUGUUUUGAUCAAAA